AAAUCUUUGGUGUGUCAUCGAGGAUAACGUAAGGGAAAAUAAUGAUUAUACCUUACUAUUAGUGUCGUCCAAGUACUCGUGCCAGAAGACUCGGUAAGGCGAGAGACGCAAACGUUAGUCGUCUUGAUCAGGCGUAAAGGGUUUGUAGGCGGCUUUAAGCAUCCAAUAUUAAGUUUACAAUUAUAAUACUGCGAUCUAUAGUGUUAUAAUUUUUAAUAAAGGAUCAUUUAAAGCUAGAAUCUAACAGAGGUCAAUACAAUGCUUAAGACAAGGUGUACAAACCGUAGAUAAAUAGUAGAGUGUUAAGGGCGAAGGCGUUUUUCCACUGAAGAUUGACGCUGAGAAACGAAGGUGAGGACAGAAAAAAGGAUUAGAGACCCUUGUAUCCCUCACUGUAAACGAUGAGUGGCAGUUACUAGUAAGAAAUAGACUAGAGACGAUGUUAACACGAAGACCAUUCCGCCUUGUGAGUACGACUGCAAAGUUGAAAACAAAAAAAUUA
rnacentral:rRNA from 2 species